AGAGAGAGACAUGCGCGCAUAUCAAUAAGCGGAGGAAAAGAAACUAACAAGGAUUCCCCUUAGUAACGGCGAGUGAAGCGGGAAGAGCUCAAAUUUGAAAUCUUCAAGGGUUUACCUUUACGAAUUGUAGUUAUAAAGAAGUGUUUUCUGUUGAGGUUUUGGUAAAAGUUCUUUGGAAUAGGACAUCAUAGAGGGUGAGAAUCCCGUAUUUGACCUUUACUUUCAACUUUGUGAUACACUUUCAAAGAGUCGGAUUGUUUGGGAAUGCAGUCCAAAAUGGGUGGUAAAUUUCAUCUAAAGCUAAAUAUUGGCGAGAGACCGAUAGCGAACAAGUACCGUGAGGGAAAGAUGAAAAGAACUUUGAAAAGAGAGUUAAACAGUACGUGAAAUUGUCAAAAGGGAAGCGUUUGACACCAGUGUUGUUUUUCUGAAAAUCAAUUAAAGAACUGUUUAUGCUAAGUUGUUUAGACUUUAUCAGCUAACUGUUUAGUUUUGAGCUUUUCUUUAAUGCACUUUUCAGUUAACAAGUCAACAUCAAUUUCUUUUGCUGUAAAAAAGCUUGAGGAAGGUGGCUUGAGAUUCGUCUUAAGUGUUUAUAGCCUCUUGCCUAUGCAGUCGGAGAGAUUGAGGUCUGCAGCGUAGAUCCUUCGGGGCUAAAUGCAUUUGUGCUAAGUUAUAGCAUUUUAUAGACAACUUGUUGACUAUGAUUUGUCUUGUAGCUUACUCGCUUAUGUUAUUUUACCUACGCUUAGGAUGUGAGCGCAUGUCUCUCUCU
rnacentral:rRNA from 1 species